AUUGAACGCUGGCGGCAUGCCUUACACAUGCAAGUCGAACGGUAACAGGUCUUCGGAUGCUGACGAGUGGCGAACGGGUGAGUAAUACAUCGGAACGUGCCUAGUAGUGGGGGAUAACUACUCGAAAGAGUGGCUAAUACCGCAUGAGAUCUACGGAUGAAAGCAGGGGAUCGCAAGACCUUGUGCUACUAGAGCGGCUGAUGGCAGAUUAGGUAGUUGGUGGGAUAAAAGCUUACCAAGCCGACGAACUGUAGCUGGUCUGAGAGGACGAGCAGCCACACUGGGACGGAGACACGGCCCAGACUCCUACGGGAGGCAGCAGUGGGGAAUUUUGGACAAUGGGCGCGAGCGUGAUCCAGAAAUGCCGCGUGCAGGAUGAAGGCCUUCGGGUUGUAAACUGCUUUUGUACGGAACGAAAAGCCCCGGGUUAAUACCCUGGGGUCAUGACGGUACCGUAAGAAUAAGCACCGGCUAACUACGUGCCAGCCGCCGCCGUAA
rnacentral:rRNA from 1 species